ACGCUGGCGGCAGGCCUAACACAUGCAAGUCGAACGGUAACAGGAAACAGCUUGCUGUUUCGCUGACGAGUGGCGGACGGGUGAGUAAUGUCUGGGAAACUGCCCGAUGGAGGGGGAUAACUACUGGAAACGGUAGCUAAUACCGCAUAACGUCGCAAGACCAAAGAGGGGGACCUUCGGGCCUCUUGCCAUCGGAUGUGCCCAGAUGGGAUUAGCUAGUUGGUGAGGUAACGGCUCACCAAGGCGACGAUCCCUAGCUGGUCUGAGAGGAUGACCAGCCACACUGGAACUGAGACACGGUCCAGACUCCUACGGGAGGCAGCAGUGGGGAAUAUUGCACAAUGGGCGCAAGCCUGAUGCAGCCAUGCCGCGUGUAUGAAGAAGGCCUUCGGGUUGUAAAGUACUUUCAGGCGGGGAGGAAGGGAGUAAAGUUAAUACCUUUGCUCAUUGACGUUACCCGCAGAAGAAGCACCGGCUAACUCCGUGCCAGCAGCC
rnacentral:rRNA from 1 species